rnacentral:rRNA from 1 species
UACGUAGGGCGCAAGCGUUAUCCGGAAUUAUUGGGCGUAAAGAGCUCGUAGGCGGUUUGUCGCGUCUGCCGUGAAAGUCCGGGGCUCAACUCCGGAUCUGCGGUGGGUACGGGGCAGACUAGAGUGAUGUAGGGGAGACUGGAAUUCCUGGUGUAGCGGUGAAAAUGCGCAGAUAUCAGGAGGAACACCGAUGGCGAAGGCAGGUCUCUGGGCAUUAACUGACGCUGAGGAGCGAAAAGCAUGGGGGAGCGA